AUUAUAAUCGAAGUGAUUUGAACUAAAACGUAGUUUAAUUAUUUAUUGAUUAACUAUUAAAUAUGAUGUCUGGAAGAUCUGCAGUAACAGAAAACCCUUUGGGAUUUUCUUGGCACGACAGUGCGUGGAUUCCUGUACUUAAUCCAAGUAAUAUAAUGGAUUAUUUUUCUGAAAGAAGUAAUCCUUUCUAUGAUAGGACAUGUAAUAAUGAAAUAGUUAAAAUGCAACGUCUAAGUCCUGAUCAAUUAACGAAUAUGACAGGCUUGGAAUAUAUUCUUUUACACGUUCAAGAACCUAUUUUGUAUGUAAUUAGAAAACAGCAUCGUCAUUCCCCUACUUUGGCUGCGCCGCUUACUGAUUAUUAUAUUAUCGCAGGUGUUGUUUAUCAAGCGCCAGACUUGGCAUCUAUUGUUAGUUCGAAAUUGCUUUCCACAGUUCAUCAUUUACAAUCUGCGUUUGAAGAAGCUAGUUCGUGUUCUCGUUAUCAUCCUAGUAAAGGGUAUAAUUGGGAUUUUAAAAAUGGAAAAUCUAUUACUGCUAAGAAAGAAACACCAGUACGCGAAGAGCCAAGUUCCUUGUUUCAGCGUCAAAGAGUAGAUAUGUUACUCGGAGAACUUACACGCAAAUUUCCUUUACCUGUACCAAAACCAGCUCAUCAAGCAACAGAGACUACUACUGAUAUUAAACAAGAAGUGAAGGUUGAAAAGAAAGAUAUGAAACCGCCGCCAGAAAAAAAACCUAGAGCAAAUUAAAGAGGACAGUUUGUACAAAUUUAUCAAAGAUAUCUACAUCAUAAUGCGACAUACGAAUGCUAAAUAGAAAUAGAUUAGAUUCGAGAGCAGAGCGAAUGAUGUGCGACGAUAACGUGUGCGAUGAUUGUUUAAAAACUGAAAUAUUUCAAUAUGAAAAUGAUACUUUCGAUGAAUUUAUCACGAAUUUGCAACACAAAAAAUGUAAAGUAAUACAACUGGUACGAAGACAAAUACAUAAGUUCAAGGAUA